UACGUAGGGGGCAAGCGUUGUCCGGAUUUAUUGGGCGUAAAGAGCGUGUAGGCGGCUUUACAGGUCCGUUGUGAAAACUCGAGGCUCAACCUCGAGACGCCGGUGGAAACCGUAAGGCUAGAGUCCGGAAGAGGAGAGUGGAAUUCCUGGUGUAGCGGUGAAAUGCGCAGAUAUCAGGAAGAACACCCCGUGGCGAAGGCGGCUCUCUGGGACGGUACUGACGCUGAGACGCGAAAGCGUGGGGAGCGAACAGG
rnacentral:rRNA from 1 species